UGAUCCACCCGCCUCAGCCUCCCGAAGUGGUGGGAUUACAGGCAUGAGCCACCACACCCAGCCUUGUGUUGUUUUUGAGACAGGAUCUCAUUCUGUUGCCCAGGCCGGAGCACAGUGACAGGAUCGUGGCUAACUGCAGCAGCCUUCAACUCCUGGGCUCCAGCAGUUCUCCCGCUUCAGCCUCUGAAGUAGCUGGGACUACCAGUGCGUGCCACACGCCUGGACUGGAAACAGCAAAGGCUAUGCAUUUGUGGAGUUUGAGUGUAAGGAUGUUGCCAAGAUAGUUGCUGAAACAAUGAACAACUACAUGUUUGGUGAAAGGCUCUUGGAGUGUCGUCUUAUGCCACCUAA